UGCAGUGUAGCUCAGUGAUGAGAGUACUUGCCUAGCAUGCCUGACGGCCUGGGUUUGAUCCCAGCACUGAAA
rfam:Heterocephalus glaber contig141481, whole genome shotgun sequence.